CAAUGAAAGGAAAGAACAAGGGACUUUUCAAAAGUCAACAGGAAAGGUACAGAAUUGGAUACUCACGAGAUCCAGAUUAUCAUAAAUGAGCACGUUAUUACGGCUCGUUAUUGAGAUUUGUUUCAGGUUUGAUUCGCUGUGAGAAUGAGAAAAGGCGGUUGAAAGAGACGAAGUAAUGAGAGGAUUGGGCACGAGUGCCGUGGAAAAUAUGAGAAAAUGAAGGGAAUUACAGUAGUAUACUCGUGAAGGUAAAUGAACAUUUGAAAUGGAUUGAGCAGAUCGAAGAGAUGUUGUGGAGCAACAUAUUAUGUGUUCACAAGCCAUGGAUUCUUGGCAAUCGUCUCUGCUGAACGAUCUCCAUAAUCGUAGAGAAGCUCUUCUCCUUGUGCGAUUUGACGCCUGGCGACGAGAAUCAGGUGAUGCGACCCAUCGAUUUCCACCACCUGGAAUGUUUAGUUUUGGAAUUGUUAUUUACAUUUUUUUAAUUUAUCAAAGACUUUCUUAAUAAAUUUCAAAUUUU
ensembl:antisense_RNA anr-1 ncRNA